GCGCAGGUGGUGGAAUGGUAGACACGCCAGCUUGAGGUGCUGGUGCUUUCGGGUGUGAGGGUUCAAAUCCCUUCUUGCGCACCA
rnacentral:tRNA from 1 species